CCUACGGGAGGCAGCAGUGAGGAAUAUUGGUCAAUGGACGCAAGUCUGAACCAGCCAUGCCGCGUGCAGGAAGACGGCGCUAUGAGUUGUAAACUUCUUUUGUACGGGGAUAAACGCAGAUACGCGUAUCUGUCUGAAAGUAUCUGACGAAUAAGCAUCGGCUAACUCCGUGCCAGCAGCCGCGGUAAUACGGAGGAUUCAAGCGUUAUCCGGAUUUAUUGGGUUUAAAGGGUGCGUAGGCGGUGGGAUAAGUUAGAGGUGAAAUCCCGAGGCUCAACUUCGGAAUUGCCUCUGAUACUGUCAGUCGAGAGAGUAGUUGAGGUAUGCGGAAUGUAUGGUGUAGCGGUGAAAUGCUUAGAGAUCAUACAGAACACCGAUUGCGAAGGCAGCUUACCAAGCUCCUUCUGACGUUGAGGCACGAAAGCGUGGGGAGCAAACAGGAUUAGAUACCCGUGUAGUC
rnacentral:rRNA from 1 species